rnacentral:rRNA from 1 species
GACGAACGCUGGCGGCGUGCCUAAUACAUGCAAGUAGAACGCAGUGGCGAACGGGUGAGUAACGCGUAGGUAACUGCCUCAUAGCGGGGGAUAACUAUGGGAAACGAUAGCUAAUACCGCAUACUGUGAGAUGGACCUGCGUUGUAUUAGCUAGUUGGUGAGGUAAAGGCUCACCAAGGCGACGAUACAUAGCCGAGCUGAGAGGGUGAACGGGCAACCAGGGACUGGAGCAAGGCCCCAGAUCCUACCGGGAGGCGCAGGAGGGAAUCUUCGGAAAUGGGGAGCAGUCUGGACGCGCAACGGCCCGUGAGUUAAAAAGGUUUUCGGGGCGGAAAGCUCUGUUGUGAGGGAAGCGGUACCUAACCAGAAAGGACCGGCUAACUACGUGCCAGCAGCCGCGGUAAUUC